rnacentral:rRNA from 1 species
UACGAAGGGGGCUAGCGUUGCUCGGAAUUACUGGGCGUAAAGCGCGCGUAGGCGGCUUUGCAAGUCGAGUGUGAAAUCCCCAGGCUUAACCUGGGAACUGCAUUCGAGACUGCAUAGCUAGAGUAUGGGAGAGGGAAGUGGGAUUUCAGGUGUAGCGGUGAAAUGCGUAGAUAUCUGAAGGAACAUCAGUGGCGAAAGCGACUUCCUGGACCAAUACUGACGCUCAUGUGCGAAAGCGUGGGGAGCAAACAGG